rnacentral:misc_RNA from 1 species
GAAAAAACAUAUAUGAAAAAUUAGUUGGUAGAUAUGAAGAUGCUAACAUGAAUGUACGUAAAUAAAAUGAUGAACUGGAUAAGAAAUGAAUGCAUUCAUGAGAAGAUGAAGUUGGCAACAUUUAUAAAAAGUUCAAAGAAUGGAGAUUGGGUUAUUGAGAUGGUAUGAGUAUGACCAUCAUAAACCAACAAAUGCAUUAGCAUAGAAGGUUGCAUGUUGACAUUGGAGGAGAAAAGAAAUCAAGGGAUAG